rnacentral:rRNA from 1 species
GUCCAUACUGUAAAUUCUGAGUGCUGUAAUUUAACGUAAUGUUUGUAUACAUAUUUAGAUUUUAAGCUAACGCUAUAAGCACUCCGCCUGAGGAGUACGAUCGCAAGGUUGGAACUCAAAGGAAUUGACGGGAGCUAAUACUAGUGGUGGAGCAUGUGGUUUAAUGCGAUACUCCGCGCAAAACCUUACCAAUUCUUGACAUAAUAUUAGAUUUUAUUUAUAAUAAAAUAUAAUUUUACAGGUGUUGCACGGCUGUCGU